CAAAUUUAAAUUUUAACUUCUUAGAACAAUUUUUUCACGAUUGGAAAAAAUCGAACUUUAACAAGACAUAUUUUAAAAUAUUAAUAGAAAAAUAUGGACGUUUCAGUAGAAAUGCUCAACCGAGUAUCCAAGUACACAAGAAUUCUCGGCAAAUUAAAGCAGAAAUGUGGCUGCAACAGAUUUUUCAUCUACAAAUUUUUAAUGAUUAUACUAGCUGUAUACACCGCAGUUGAAUUUGUCUGCACUUUCACAUCGAUCGUCUAUCUCAUUUACGCUUCGAAGAAUGCGAUUCAAAGAGGAACACUACGAGAUACAAAAGUUAUACUGACAUAUUGGGUGAUAUUUGGAUUAAUUCAACUGUUUGAAAAUUUAUUUGAUGCCGUAAUGACUUGUAUUCUUUAAUAUUGGUUGAUGAAGGUAAGCAUCAUUCUAAAUUUUUUAUAUACAGAGGGGCCAUUAUUAAAGUUUUUAUAUUCAGAGCAGUCUGUAGCUGUAAC